GAUGAAGAAGAGGAGGAGGAGGAGGGGAGAAAAACGGAGGAGCUGAAUGACUGAAGAGACACUUCCUCAUUCAAUGCAGAUCAGCAAACUAACCACCAACAUUAACUCUCUUCAACAUGGACUAUGAGCUUUUGGUGAUCAUUACCUCACUAACAGGUGUCAUCUGUCAACACGUUACUCCAGUGAAAGACGAGAAGUCUGGUUCAGCAGACAGCCCUGUUUCUCUAUCCUGCAACUACAGUAAAGGUGCAGCAGAUUAUUUCUUCUGGUAUCGACAACAUCCAGGGAAACCUCCAGAGUUCCUGACAUUUAAUACGGAAGUUGAAGAAACGCAGAAAGAAUCUCGGUCUAGACUCUCUGGUAGAGUUCGAAAACAGGAAAGCCAGAUGGAUCUGCUGAUCUCCUCUGCUGCAGUGACAGACUCUGCUGUGUACUACUGCGCUGUGAGGCCCACAGUGACAGGAAACACCAGAACCCAGUACAAAAACCUGCAGUACUCCACAGCAACCACUAGAGGGCCUCCCUCCCUGUUAAUCCACUGGUUGUUGAGUCUUUAGACUGAAGACAAAGACAACAGAGACAUGAAGCAGUAAAGAUCAGACAGAGCUGCUGAGGAAGCAGAAAACGCUCUGAUUGGUUGAGUUGAAGUGGCCCCGCCCACUGACCUUCAGCUCAUUCAAUGACAUCAUUUCUUCCUCUUUCUGCUGCAGUGGAAGAACAUUGUUGAUCUGCAGUGU